ensembl:lncRNA
AAACACUCAAUUCCCAUCUAUGUCAAGCAGACACCUGAUACUGAAACCAGCUGUCAUGUCUUUAAAGACUGUCCAGAGCAGCUACAGUUUGCUGACAACAAGCCUCCAUUUUAUGAAAAGGAUUGAGGAUUCAAAUAAAGAAUCUUCUCAUCUUGCGCAGUUAUUACCUUACCAGAGGACUUUGCUGGUGAGUUCAUACAGGAGGUGUUUUUUCAGAAAGCACAUGAGGAGGAGAGAACAGUGCUUCACUGAACAUGUUGUACAGCCCCUGGUGCUGCAGCUCAGACCUGGAGAAGCCCUUACAGGUGGGUGGGCGGCUCCCAGGGCUGUCCCCUGCAGAACUGCUGGAUGCACCAUUUGCUGUCCUGUGAGAAGGUCCCUGCAGUUACAGAGCUUUCAGACUGGGACCAUCUCCAUAAUGUUUAAUAAGGACAAAGGAAUACUUAGAGAUGUGAAAUGGGUAAAUUGACAGACACUUCAGACACACACUCAGCUUCAGUAUUUCAUCCUGCUUUAACUCAUGUGCAGGACAGAAGGGAACAUUUCCACCUGUGAAGUUCCUCUGAUGUGGCUGCAGAAGGUGCCUGGGAAUGCUUCCUAUACCAAUUGCAUCCACUAUUUUUCUUUAUCACACUAAAUCAUCUCCAACCAUUUGUGUUCCCUGUGUGCUAGAAAUGCUGCCAAGGCUGAAGGAGCCUGAAAUAAAUCAGGGAAGUGAUUGAUUGGCA